UGACUGCAAACAGAUAAAGAAACUACACUUUCACUUGCUGCUUUUAGGUAUCAUAUGAUCCUUUACCAUCAAUUCUAAGCUCAUUCAUGUCUCCUCUAACCCUUCAACAACUAUGAGAGGGAGAUUAUAACUUCUCUACAAUGCCAUCACUAAAGCAGCCCCUAUACAAAGAAAGGUAUUCAUUCCUAAACCAGCAAACAACAAUUCCCUUUCUUCAGUCUUUCGCCGUAUAUUCUCUUUAUUCUUUUCCUCUUAUAGGUUGCUCUCUUUAGUA
rnacentral:misc_RNA from 1 species